rnacentral:tRNA from 1 species
UGCCCCAUGGCUGAGUUGGUCACAGCGUCCGACUGUUACCUCUGAACAUCGGAAGGUCGUGAGUUCGAGCCUCACUGGGGCAG